UCCUAUUCUCUCUCAUUGUACUUCCUUUUCUACUUCUUUCUCUUCAUCUCCAUAGAACCUCUCUUCUCGUCUCUCUUUCCCUCCUCUAAACCCUAGCCCGCCGCAGCCCCUUUCUCCACCCCAUCAUCAUCCCCGAUUGCAAAACCAAUCACAUAUCUGUUCUCCCAAUCUCACAACCUUUCUAAUAAACCGAAUUGAUUUUGGCUUUGCCGUCGACCACCCUUUUUCAUUCUCCGACCGUCGUAACUCGAAAUGGAAAAAGAUAACAUUUUUCCUUCUUUUCUCCGAAUGCUCUCUUCAGAGAACCAAACAUCUUUUAUUUCGGAACAAUUUAAUGUUAUUUUCGGCAGUUCUCUUUUUCAUUUGAUCUAUUUUUCAGAUUCUGAUUGUGUGAUGUGGCUCCUAAUGGUUUGUGUAUAAUUUUACGCAGGUAUGCAGAUACACUAAAUAGGUGAGAAGAGAAAUUGGUUUAUUUCCAUUAUUCAAGCUAUUUUGUCUGCUGGAAAACGGCUUUAGCAACUUAAUAGGAGAGGGGGAUACCGAUGAUCAUAAUAAAUUGUACUCUGGUUUGUUAAAGAAGUUAAUUUCAACCGCUUCCUCUGCAAAUGCUAUUGGUAAAGCAUCAAAAAUGUUGUCAUCUUUCAAUAAAGACUCUGCUCAUCAAGGAGAUCUGACAAGUAUGAUUGUUGCAAUUGAGGGACAAUUUCCAGAGGUAUUUACAACUCGAAAGGCUUUUCAAAUGGCAUUGGAACAAUUAAAUUCGUUGAUUGCCUUGUACCGCAAACGACUUGGAAUGCAAAAUUUGGAAUAUAUGUCUGUUUCUGGUGUAACUCACUUGAUAGAGAUGUUCACAAUCUUGAGAGUAAAAUACACCUACUUCUAACCCCAACUGACGAGGUGUAAGAUGAACCAAUUUUAUGUCAUUCAUCAUUGUUUUUUCAAUUUUCACCCAUAAAACAUGAAAAUAUGAAGAUUCCCUGUGCAAUAUCUAUUUUCUACUAGCUAUUUUGUAGUUCUGUUUUCCUGUUUUGUAUCUAUUUUCUACUAGCUAUUUUUGUAGUUAUGUUUUCC